GGCACUGGUGGCUCAGUUGGUAGAGCACGCACACCAUGAAAGAGGCUAUAGUCCUCUAUGUGGUUGUCCUGUGUUUGAUUCUUGGUCUCAGGCCA